CCAAAUGAGUAUUCGGGAAACGUUGCUCUUAUAGGGUUUGCUAUCAGAGUUAGUAUGGCCUCCAUCACGUGGCUUCGCAAACUUCCAUCGGUGGGCGACAUCUCCCUGUCAACGACUGGCUACCGGCAACCCUUCUCCUCCGGCGGUACCUGUCUCUCCUCUCUCUCUCUCUCUCUCUCUCUCUCUCUCUCUCUCUCUCUCUCUCUCUCUCUCUUCUCCGUUUCCCAAGAGCCAUCGCCCUCCAUCUUCUCCGCAUCUCCUUGUCUCCCUUCCCUCUCCGCCUCAGGCAGCUCCCGUCCCCUCUCUUCUCCCUUCCUCAGCCACCGCCGCCACCUUAAUGAAAGGACCCACUGAAGGCAUGAUCUGCGCGUAUCUAUUCUGAAUGUUCAUAUGAUUUUAUACAUGAUCACACAUUUGGCCAGAAACUCGCCUCAACAUAGCAAAUUGAUGUCUAUUUUGGAAUUAUUAAUUCCAACUUUGGGGAUCAUGUACAGUUUAUUUGCUUCAACAAUUCAAAAUUUAGGUGGCUUUCAUGUGCAGUUUAUUUGCUCUAACAAUUCAAAUUUUGGGUGUGCUGAUAAAUCCCCAUAAAUCAGCUCUAUAAAAGCAAUUGGAUCUGUAAAUUCUUGUAAGGUCAUCCAAACUAUGGUACAUACGGUUGGUUGGCUAUGAUAGAACUCAACAUCAUUUGCUAGUAAAUGCUGGUGUGACAUUGUAAAGCUGUCUCUCAAGACACCUGGUCUGCAGAGUCUUUCACUUAACAAUUAAUGAUAUGUUAUGGUCUAUAAUCUGUGUGUUGUAAAAUUAUGCGUCGUUUGUGUGUUAAAUUCUUUUUCCAUGAGUAUAACUUUUGAUACGACAUUGUCUUUGUCAGUUAAUAUAUGCAUAUGGGUCCAACAUUGGGUGCUCAUCAACUUUUGUCAGCUUAAAAGUCCUUAACUCAAUUGGGAGAAAAAGGAAUAAAACGCCUUUAGAAACCUUUAGAACACCCUUAGUAGUUACUGUUGCCGCUUCUUCUCCGGUGAUACUCAUAUAUGUUGAAGAAUGCAGGCAACCCAUUUGUCUUCUGGUUAUCAUGACUCUUUGCCGUAGUAAGGUCAUAGUAUGAGUCCAUCUCAUGGUUUAAGCUAAACAAGUCAAAAGCAAGAAUCAAAAUUUGGGAUACAGAGUCUUCUGGUGCUACUAGAACGAUGAAAGUCUUAUGGUUUCUGCUUGAUUUAUGAGUUAUAUAUAGAUUUGUUACAAUUUUGCAAAUGCAAUCAUAGCAGUUUAAAAAACGAGAAUGGAAACAUAGACACUUUAUGAAUACAGCCUGCUGUAAGUCUAAUUAAUUGGCACUGCACUUUACAUUUUUUUUGUAUAAAUUAUUUCAAAUUGGUCUUGAGAACUUGUGUAUUUUUCAUUGAAGAUUUUGAGUUCUUUUCAUUGAUUUUGUCCUACACAUGCUUUUUGUUACACUCUAGAUAGUUUCCCUUUGUGCUCUAGAGAAAUUUAGUUGUCUUUUUCUGCAAAUUUUCCUUGUCACUUAGGACGAAGCAAACAUGGAGAAAUCUCGGGACAUGGAAAACUUGAUAGAUUAGAAAUCAUGCUGUUUGUGCAGGAUGGAGAAGCUGCUUUUUGAGGCACCACCAGGAUACUAUUCAUUAUGUUAUAUAACCACAUCAAUCCAAUGGAAGUUUAUUAUACAAUGAGAAGUUCUGAAACUAUUAAGUAGGUAUGUGAUUGAAAUAAUUCUUUCUGUAAUCUGUAGCAAGUGCUAUGGGGUAAGUGGUGAGAGUAUCAAGGUUGCAGGAAAAGAGAUUUUUAUGUCUGAUUUAGAGAGGAGGUUGACUUAUGCUGAAACAGAUGCUGAACUGAAGGGUUAAGGACCUUUUGAUUUUAUGUUUCUACAAAUUUUCUUUUCUCUACCAUGAAAAUUUCCUUUAUUCAUGAAUGUGUUCUCCGGUGGAUCCAAUGUGAUAAGUGCAAAGCUGGGCAACAUCAGAUCUGUGCUAUUUUUAACGGAAGGCAUUGCAAGCCGAAUAAGUUUGCCCAAAUUGCUACCUGGAGGAAUUAGAAAGUGGACACAACAUGAACCACUAACCACAGAGUGCAGCUAUUGGAGCACGUGGCUCAUCAGGAACUUUGUUGAGUUACCAUAUUGAGCAAUGAUAACUUGGGCAUCUCAAACAAGAGAGAGAGAAGAAAGGGCAAGAAUAUUGGAAACUAGUGUUGAUGAGGUCAUUAUUUCAGAAGUCUUGUAUGUUCUUUGAUGAUGAUGGGCAUUUUGAUGUUUCUUCAAAGGAAAUUUUGGUUUGCCGGUCGUCAAAAGAAUCCUGCAAUCGCAUAGGCACUUCUAGACGUGUGGCAUGUCUACAUAGAUAUGACCGUUAAGUGAUGCUAUGAUAGAGGACGUCAUCUAAUCGUUGGUCAUCGAGGAUGAGAGACAGCAGGGACAUCUGGGAAACCUUUGAGCACCUCACCUAACCAUACAAGUCGUCAAAUUCAAUCGGAAAUUUAGCUACGGGGAUAUUUUCCUUACUGCAACAAUGAAAAAUUGUACUAGCUUUUUGGAUUAUUUAUUGGACAAAUUUUUGAAAAAAAAUCAUAACUUUGUGAUUU